rnacentral:tRNA from 1 species
GCGCGGGUGCUGUAAUUGGUAGCCAGUCAAGGUUGAGGGCCUUGUGUCAGCAAUGACGUGGAGGUUCGAGUCCUCUCCCGCGCACCA